UACGUAGGGGGCGAGCGUUGUCCGGAUUUAUUGGGCGUAAAGCGCGCGCAGGUGGUGCGGUAAGUCUGUCGUGAAAUCUCCCGGCUCAACUGGGAGGGUGCGGUGGAGACUGCCGGACUAGAGGCACUCAGAGGCCGGUGGAAUUCCCGGUGUAGUGUUGAAAUGCGUAGAGAUCGGGAGGAACACCAGUGGCGAAGGCGGCCGGCUGGGGGUGACCUGACGCUGAGGCGCGAAAGCUAGGGGAGCAAACGGG
rnacentral:rRNA from 1 species